GAUGAACAGCUACCCACUACUACAGAUUUUUUUUCUUUAUAGAGAAGCUUCCGAGGUACUUUCGCUUUACUUCCGCAUUUCUGCUCGCAACUUCCGUUUUACAAUUUCUCCAUCCAUAAAUUUACCGGGAUAUCAGUCUGAAAUGGGGAAAAUGGGGCAUUCAUUAAUGCUCAUGACAGUGUCAUGUCAUAAUGAUGAUCGUCUUGUGACAGUCUUAUGACACCAUGGUCAAUUAAAGUGUUCCCGAAAAAAGGAACAAGUAAUAGAACUAAAUACCACAAGUCAUGUAUUACAAUUUCUGAGAGUAAUAUUCAAUGUGUAAUUACUUUUAAAGUAACUAAAGCCAAAACUGCUAGUGUAGAAAUAGCCUGAGUCAAUUCUGUUGAGAUAAGUGGGUGUAUAACUGUGAAAAACAUGGUACAGUAUUUGACCAAAGAGCAAUUCUAAUUUUGUAAAAGGUGAAGCCCAAAUCCAUUAGUUUGUAUCUUGUAAAUGAUUAUUUCAAACAAAAAAAUAUUACCUAAAAAUCAUGAUUAAUACUCGUAUAAGUUUCAACUUAAAAAUGUUAAUUCUAUUGAAGCUCUGACAUUGUAUAAAAAAAAAAAAAAAACUGAGUAUAAAAACAAUACAAUAACUUGCACAUUCCAAUUAAAUACACCACAAAGACAAGAUACAAUAUUUUAGUAAAUUAUGAGUGAAAAAAAUCAAUUCUAGCAGUUUGAGCAUUGUUAUCAAUUAUAAUUUAUACAGCAUCCAGACGUUUGAAGAAAUGCGGUUUGUAUUUUAUUUCCUUCUUCAAACAGGAAGGCACCAAAGAUCUUGUCCACACCUUUGACUUUACAUGUUCUUAUCGGGGUGAUAUGAGCACUGUUAGUUUUUUAAGGAAACCCGGCGACACAGUAGCAAUUUUAUUUGGAGUCAUCUGAGCCUGCCUGUGUACCUUUCCUCCACAGCUGCUUAGCAGGCACUAGAUCUAGGCUGGAUAUAUCUUGUCGAUGUCAUUGCAACAGGAAGUGUAAGCCACGCCGACUCAGCUACAAGUGAUUGUUCACACAGACUAUGAGCAGAGAUGAAUUCUGCUCACUUGUGGGUGCUGAUGGCUGUUUUGAGCCUUGGAAAUGGUGAGCAAAUGGUGCACCAGGCUACGGGGGAUGUGCAUGAUGUGGAGGGCGCAACAGUGACGCUGGACUGUAGCUUCCAGAGCAACGAUGACAUUUUCUGGUAUAAACUUGAAAGAAAUGCAGCACCCGACUUUGUUUUGAGCGUCUCUCAGUACGGUAAACUCAAAUAUGGGGAUAAGUACUCCCAAAGGUUCAACUCCACCAUAGAUGCCAGUGCCUUGCAAGCUCAUCUGCAUAUCAAGGGGUUGAAGCGGAAUGAUUCGGCAAUCUUCUACUGCGCCCUGCAGCCCACACUGACACAUUCACUUCUGUGCUUGUACAAAAACACCUGCAUCCGUUCCUAGUCAAAUUGGGGGUGCAGCCUACAGAAGUAGACUCCUCACUGUAACAAUUAAUUGCAAAACAACCAAUUAAAAUAAAGUAAAAUUAAAAUUCUCAAACCUUAAAAGAUACGAACUGAAUGAAAUCACAAAUACUAAAACUAUUAAAUGACAAGAACAAGGACUUCACUCAUUGAUGAAUUUUCAAGACACAAAUGUGGACAACGCAUACAUAGACAAAAUACAACAUAAAGCUACCCCUAUGAGCUGUCACUUUGUUAUGGUGUGGGGACCGGGGGGAGGUUGUGUGUCCCAAUGAUCAUAGGAGCUAUGUUGUCUGGGGCUUUGUGCCCCUGGCAGGGUCACCCAUGGCAAAGAGGUUCUAGGUGAGGGACCAGACAACGAAUGGCUCAAAAGUCCUUCUAUAAUGAGCACCAAUAUUGAAACUCAGUUUUCCCUCACCCGUACGCGUGUCAGCGGCGCCGCUGUCUGGAGCCAGGCCUGGAGGUGGGGCACAAUGGCAAGCACCUGGUGGCCGGCCGUACACCCAUGGGGUCCAGCCAGGCAGAACCUGAAGAGGUAAUGUGUCUUAACCUUCCCAUGGACUCACCACCUGUGGGAGGGGCCAAGGGGGUCAGGUGCGCAGACUGAUGGGUGGCAGCCAAAGGAGGGUCCUUGCAGAAGCUGGCUCUUGAGACGUGGAAUGUCACCUCUCUGGUCGGG